GACGAACGCUGGCGGCGUGCUUAACACAUGCAAGUCGAACGGAAAGGCCCUGCUUUUGUGGGGUGCUCGAGUGGCGAACGGGUGAGUAACACGUGAGUAACCUGCCCUUGACUUUGGGAUAACUUCAGGAAACUGGGGCUAAUACCGGAUAGGAGCUCCUGCUGCAUGAUGGGGGUUGGAAAGUUUCGGCGGUUGGGGAUGGACUCGCGGCUUAUCAGCUUGUUGGUGGGGUAGUGGCUUACCAAGGCUUUGACGGGUAGCCGGCCUGAGAGGGUGACCGGCCACAUUGGGACUGAGAUACGGCCCAGACUCCUACGGGAGGCAGCAGUGAGGAAUAUUGCACAAUGGGCGGAAGCCUGAUGCAGCAACGCCGCGUGCGGGAUGACGGCCUUCGGGUUGUAAACCGCUUUCGCCUGUGACGAAGCGUGAGUGACGGUAAUGGGUAAAGAAGCACCGGCUAACUACGUG
rnacentral:rRNA from 1 species